rnacentral:lncRNA from 1 species
GAGAAAUCUAUCUGUUUGAUAUUAAUUCAAAAUAAAUGACAAAAAGAGGCUUAUGAGGGGAGGACAGGGGUAAGGGAGACAGGGAGAAAGGGUUUAGGAGAAAGGGGUAGGAGAAAGGAGAAAAAGUUGGAGAAAAAAAUAAAAUAUGAAAAAAUAAAAUAUCUUUCUUUUUUCUGGUAAAUUAAAAAAAAAAUAAGGAGAAGAGGGGUAGGAGAAAGGAGAAGAGGGGUGGGAGAAGGGAGAAGGGUACCCCCUGUCCUGCCCCUC